rnacentral:lncRNA from 1 species
GCCCGCUAACAAAUUGAAAACUGUACCUAUACGCCUUAUUUUUAGUUCAGAUGUUUAGUAUUCGUAUUGUUAUCUUAGAAAGUCUUACUGAUACAAUUUAGUAGUGUCAAUCCUGUGAUUAUGACCCGUGUAUAUAGCAUAUUAAUCCUGAAUACACCGUUUGGUGGUGCGCCUGUCAGAUGCGGAACGUACAGAUAAGGUAAUAGGUAACAGGUGAAUAUACUAUUGGUAUCGGUAUCGGACUCGAUCCGGAACUUCUUAAUUAUUGGCAAUAUAAAUUACGUGGAAAACAAAGGGCCUGGAGUGGUGUAAUUUUUAAUCUACACCUUUGUACUAUAUUAGUUAUAUAUAAAGUUGAAUUCUUUGAUUCAUCGUUUUUACGUGAUGACGGCUGACAAAUUGGACCUCGUAAUUUUAGUAUUAUAG